UACGGAGGGUGCAAGCGUUGUCCGGAUUUAUUGGGUUUAAAGGGUGCGUAGGCGGCCCUGUAAGUCAGUGGUGAAAUGCGGCAGCUUAACUGUCGAACUGCCAUUGAUACUGCAGGGCUUGAGUACAGACGAGGUAGGCGGAAUUUAUGGUGUAGCGGUGAAAUGCAUAGAUACCAUAAAGAACACCUAUUGCGAAGGCAGCUUACUAGGCUGUAACUGACGCUGAGGCACGAAAGCGUGGGGAGCGAACAGG
rnacentral:rRNA from 1 species